UUAAGCGACUAAGCGUACACGGUGGAUGCCCUGGCAGUCAGAGGCGAUGAAGGACGUGCUAAUCUGCGAAAAGCGUCGGUAAGGUGAUAUGAACCGUUAUAACCGGCGAUGUCCGAAUGGGGAAACCCAGUGCAAUUCGUUGCACUAUCGUUAACUGAAUACAUAGGUUAACGAGGCGAACCGGGGGAACUGAAACAUCUAAGUACCCCGAGGAAAAGAAAUCAACCGAGAUUCCCCCAGUAGCGGCGAGCGAACGGGGAGCAGCCCAGAGUCUGAAUCAGCUUGUGUGUUAGUGGAACGGUCUGGAAAGUCCGACGGUACAGGGUGAUAGUCCCGUACACCAAAAUGCACAGGUUGUGAACUCGAAGAGUAGGGCGGGACACGUGGUAUCCUGUCUGAAUAUGGGGGGACCAUCCUCCAAGGCUAAAUACUCCUGACUGACCGAUAGUGAACCAGUACCGUGAGGGAAAGGCGAAAAGAACCCCGGCGAGGGGAGUGAAAAAGAACCUGAAACCGUGUACGUACAAGCAGUGGGAGCACCUUCGGGUGUGACUGCGUACCUUUUGUAUAAUGGGUCAGCGACUUAUAUUCUGUAGCAAGGUUAACCGUAUAGGGGAGCCGCAGGGAAACCGAGUCUUAACUGGGCGUUAAGUUGCAGGGUAUAGACCCGAAACCCGGUGAUCUAGCCAUGGGCAGGUUGAAGGUUGGGUAACACUAACUGGAGGACCGAACCGACUAAUGUUGAAAAAUUAGCGGAUGACUUGUGGCUGGGGGUGAAAGGCCAAUCAAACCGGGAGAUAGCUGGUUCUCCCCGAAAGCUAUUUAGGUAGCGCCUCGUGAACUCAUCUUCGGGGGUAGAGCACUGUUUCGGCUAGGGGGUCAUCCCGACUUACCAACCCGAUGCAAACUACGAAUACCGAAGAAUGUUAUCACGGGAGACACACGGCGGGUGCUAACGUCCGUCGUGAAGAGGGAAACAACCCAGACCGCCAGCUAAGGUCCCAAAGUCAUGGUUAAGUGGGAAACGAUGUGGGAAGGCACAGACAGCCAGGAUGUUGGCUUAGAAGCAGCCAUCAUUUAAAGAAAGCGUAAUAGCUCACUGGUCGAGUCGGCCUGCGCGGAAGAUGUAACGGGGCUAAACCAUGCACCGAAGCUGCGGCAGCGACACUAUGUGUUGUUGGGUAGGGGAGCGUUCUGUAAGCCUGCGAAGGUGUGCUGUGAGGCAUGCUGGAGGUAUCAGAAGUGCGAAUGCUGACAUAAGUAACGAUAAAGCGGGUGAAAAGCCCGCUCGCCGGAAGACCAAGGGUUCCUGUCCAACGUUAAUCGGGGCAGGGUGAGUCGACCCCUAAGGCGAGGCCGAAAGGCGUAGUCGAUGGGAAACAGGUUAAUAUUCCUGUACUUGGUGUUACUGCGAAGGGGGGACGGAGAAGGCUAUGUUAGCCGGGCGACGGUUGUCCCGGUUUAAGCAUGUAGGCUGAUUGUCCAGGCAAAUCCGGAUAAUCAAGGCUGAGGUGUGAUGACGAGGCACUACGGUGCUGAAGUAACAAAUGCCCUGCUUCCAGGAAAAGCCUCUAAGCAUCAGGUAACAUUAAAUCGUACCCCAAACCGACACAGGUGGUCAGGUAGAGAAUACCAAGGCGCUUGAGAGAACUCGGGUGAAGGAACUAGGCAAAAUGGUGCCGUAACUUCGGGAGAAGGCACGCUGGUGUGUAGGUGAAGUCCCUGCGGAUGGAGCUGAGACCAGUCGAAGAUACCAGCUGGCUGCAACUGUUUAUUAAAAACACAGCACUGUGCAAACACGAAAGUGGACGUAUACGGUGUGACGCCUGCCCGGUGCCGGAAGGUUAAUUGAUGGGGUUAUCCGUAAGGAGAAGCUCUUGAUCGAAGCCCCGGUAAACGGCGGCCGUAACUAUAACGGUCCUAAGGUAGCGAAAUUCCUUGUCGGGUAAGUUCCGACCUGCACGAAUGGCGUAAUGAUGGCCAGGCUGUCUCCACCCGAGACUCAGUGAAAUUGAACUCGCUGUGAAGAUGCAGUGUACCCGCGGCAAGACGGAAAGACCCCGUGAACCUUUACUAUAGCUUGACACUGAACAUUGAGCCUUGAUGUGUAGGAUAGGUGGGAGGCUUUGAAGCGUGGACGCCAGUCUGCGUGGAGCCAACCUUGAAAUACCACCCUUUAAUGUUUGAUGUUCUAACGUUGGCCCCUGACCGGGGUUGCGGACAGUGUCUGGUGGGUAGUUUGACUGGGGCGGUCUCCUCCCAAAGCGUAACGGAGGAGCACGAAGGUUAGCUAAUCCUGGUCGGACAUCAGGAGGUUAGUGCAAUGGCAUAAGCUAGCUUGACUGCGAGCGUGACGGCGCGAGCAGGUGCGAAAGCAGGUCAUAGUGAUCCGGUGGUUCUGAAUGGAAGGGCCAUCGCUCAACGGAUAAAAGGUACUCCGGGGAUAACAGGCUGAUACCGCCCAAGAGUUCAUAUCGACGGCGGUGUUUGGCACCUCGAUGUCGGCUCAUCACAUCCUGGGGCUGAAGUAGGUCCCAAGGGUAUGGCUGUUCGCCAUUUAAAGUGGUACGCGAGCUGGGUUUAGAACGUCGUGAGACAGUUCGGUCCCUAUCUGCCGUGGGCGCUGGAGAAUUGAGGGGGGCUGCUCCUAGUACGAGAGGACCGGAGUGGACGCAUCACUGGUGUUCGGGUUGUCAUGCCAAUGGCACUGCCCGGUAGCUAAAUGCGGAAGAGAUAAGUGCUGAAAGCAUCUAAGCACGAAACUUGCCCCGAGAUGAGUUCUCCCUGAGACUAUAAGUCUCCUGAAGGAACGUUAAAGACGAUGACGUUGAUAGGCCGGGUGUGUAAGCGCAGCGAUGCGUUGAGCUAACCGGUACUAAUGAACCGUGAGGCUUAACCUU
rnacentral:rRNA from 6 species